GAUGAACGCUGGCGGCGUGCUUAACACAUGCAAGUCGAACGGGAUCCCUGGCAGCUUGCUGCCGGGGUGAGAGUGGCGAACGGGUGAGUAAUGCGUGACCGACCUGCCCCAUGCACCGGAAUAGCUCCUGGAAACGGGUGGUAAUGCCGGAUGUUCCACAUGAGCGCAUGCGAGUGUGGGAAAGGCUUUUGCGGCAUGGGAUGGGGUCGCGUCCUAUCAGCUUGUUGGUGGGGUAACGGCCUACCAAGGCGU
rnacentral:rRNA from 1 species